GGGCGUCUUGAAAUCUUUUGACAGCUUUCGAAGUGCUAAUUUUAAACCUUUUUCAGCUGGACCAAAUCACUACUUUCCUUUCAAAUUCUGGACCCAAAUUUUUUUACAGUGUAAUUUCACCCCCUACUUGCAAUUUGAGGCAUUAAACAUGGAGAAAUAAAUUUGGAAGGGGUAUAAAAAUUAAUGGCAAGUAACCCACUGUCAACACUAGGG
rnacentral:lncRNA from 1 species